UUGGCAGUUUGUUGGGGAGAAGAACGUCAAGGAAAGUUUUGCUAGCUGGCUAAUUUUAGCUAGCUAGCUAACGUUAGCUCUCUGGCUAAUUCUCCAUGGACAUGUAAUCUUCUAGCUUGGAUGGCAGACAGAAGUUAUUUAGCCGGCUGACUAAGAAAUGUAAAAAGCUUAUGUUUUGUUGUCGCUCUCUCUCCAUCUGUCUGCUUAUUAUUAGUAAAAAAAUGUUUUACCAAGUUGACUGAGAACACAUUCUCAGCAACAACCUGGGGAAUAUAGUUACAGUCGAGAUGAAGGAACCAAUUGGAAGCAAGGGAUGAUUAGGUGACCAUGAGGGCCUGUUGGAUGAAUUUAGUUUUGUGUUCAUUAACCAAUUCAAUUAAAACACUCUGUCCACUUCUAAGGAUUUGUAAGGUUCUCAUUUGCAUGAAAUGGACAGAGACCAGCCAUCAAGAUUAGCCAAUAGCGUUUAUUCUCGUGAGCUCUGCCCAUCAUUUCAUGUACAUUGGUUUAUAUACCUAUCAUUUCAUCAUACAUAUCCCUCCUCCUCUCAGACAAUGACAAAGCUGCUUUUCAAUUCCAUUCCAACACGUACAUAUUGCUUAUCAUAUGCUACCACAUGUUACACAAUCUACUGCAAGCCCAACGGUUUCUCCCCUCCCUGGUUGGGGACCAGACAUCUUUCCUGUUGUUAGUUUCACUGUGGUCACAAGUUGUCUGUUAACACUUCCUCUUUACCUAUAUACAAACAUAUUCUUCAUCAGUCAGCAUAGAAUUCUGUUAGUUAUAAUUCUACGUUAAAUGUAUACAUCAUUUAGUCAUUAUUGAUAAAAAUCCUUCAACGGGGCCAGAUUGGGAUUAACACCCCUACAUUUACGAUAAAUGCCAUGGGAUCUUUAGUGCCCACAGAGAGUCAGGACACCCGUUUAACAUCCUAUCCAGUACCCUACACAGAGCAAUGUCCCCAAUCACUGCCCUGGGGAAUUGAGAUAUUUUUUAAGACCAGAGGAAAGAUUGCCUCCUACUGGCCCUCCAACACCACUUCCAUCAGCAUCUGGUCCCCCAUACAGGGACUGACUCGGACCAACCCUGCUUAGCUUCAAAAGUAAGCCAGCAGUGGGAUGCAGGGUGGUAUGCUGCUGGCCAUUGCUGAAGGGCAACAUAGUCAAUGUACUUGCUAGGCUAGUCUAACAUUCUAAAGACAUGUCUUCUGUCGUAGCUAGGUUAACUUAAAGGUGAAUCAUGAUUUGUCUGUCUUUACAGUUCCUUAAACAUGUCAAUGACCUGAUGCGUGCUUGUCCACCCACCUAUUCUCCCACAUCCCAGGGAAAAGAGAGCAGAACCAGUCCUUCUUAAAUCCAUAGUCAUUGACAGUAAGUUGUGAAAUGUUUUGUUUUCUCUUUAAUAAUAUGUAUUGAUUCCUACUAAACAGCUUGGUUAGAGCUAGGUUUGUACUAUGCUGAUUAUCAUUAGUAUUUUCUCUGCAUCAGGUCUCACUGAGACUGUAUUCCCCAAAAGACAUGCUAUUCCGCUUCCCAUGAUUGCUUGAUCUUAGUGUAAGUAGAUCCAAUUGAAAUAGCACUGCUUCUAAUAAUACAAGUUUGUAAAGCAAAUAACAUCCUAUUUUAACUCUCUUUUUUAGACCUUCCUUGGUGAGCCACGUAAAGUUCCUCCCCUUUCUCUUGCUCAUUCUCCCUGUCGCUCACUCAAACAUGUUGCAGAGAUGUGGAAGAGAUUUGCGAAUUCCAUCUAAUUAGCAAUGUUUGCUGCAGGAAUGAUAUGACAGACACACAACUUCUGAAAAAUAUAAUAUUUUAUUGUCUCUAUUUGUCUCUUUACAUAUACUUACAUUUUUGUAUUUACCUUCCUUUUUUUAAGACUGCCAAGCUGUCCUGGAUUGGGGGAACUGUCCGGGAUAAUGUCCUCGGGAUUAUAGAGUGGUGUGUUUAUAAAAAGUUGUUGUAAUAUUAAAACAUGUAUUAGGAUUAAGCAACACUACCUUAUUUAGCGUCAAUUUAAACAAUGUAAUGAUCCAACUACUGUCUAAUUUUAAAAUGUUUCAGAUUGAUGACCAAUGAAUUAAUGUCCCACUUCAAUAUGAAGGGACAGAGGAGCAAACAUGCCUUGCUACCACUCAUGUGUGCUCCAUUGUAAUUGGUAAAUAAAUGUGAGCAGUUGAGACAUUUGACAUAGACGAUGCAAUAUUUUAAAUAUAUUUUACUGUGCGUUACUGUUGUCGUGUCCUGCAUGCCCACAUUAUGCCAAUCUGUAAUUUAGUCUCUUUUUAUGCUUACAUUAAGUGUCAUGAAAGGCCAGAAAACUUGGGAGGUUGAUGUGUUGCGGGCCGUCGGUAAAGUCCUAAAAUGUGCACCUGACCGCUGUGGUGGAGGAGGACCUAAAAUCUGACCCAUCACACCACUCUUCAAAAGGGCCAUUGCGCUCCAGAUCACCUUCUUUGCUCAGAGGUCCUUGAUGAGGAUCUUCCCCACCACACCAAUCUUAAUAAUCAUCAAUAAUAAAAAGCAAUACGCCUUCAUAUACUCUGCCCCAUUCUUUCUAUGCAUGUAAUGUCUGUGGGUAAAUUAUGAAAGAAUUACUGUAUGCAGAUGUGCAUAGAAUUGUUUGAUUUAUUGUAAAUGUAAGAAUGUUUUGCAGAUUGAAACUAAUUGGUGACUAUGGAAACAAAUAAAUGUAAUGAACAAUGUUUUCAAUAUCCAACUUUAUCCCCUGCAAUACUUUUUACAGUAGGUAAUAAGCUGUAGUCAGGUGGUCAUUACCAGGUUAUGAUAAAGUCUUAACUAUGACCAGUACAUUAUACCGGUAGCAAAUAAUAUAGUGGUCAGAAUUAUCACCAGCUGGUCGUACGGUGGUCAGAAAAAUACGUAGUAUUCUGGUCAUAAAACAUGUUUGUGACCAGAAUAAGAGGUCUUUAAAAGACGUCAUACAGACGUCUUUCAACCAGGUUUUUCCCACUGCGGAUGAAUCACGCAGUUCAGUGCCCAUUAUCCAAUGAGGUUUUGAUUGACAGUGCAGUUUACUUUGGGGCAAGUUUAAUGUAAAUAAGCCUUAAUGACAAAUGAUGAUUGCUGACAUGCUGAAAAAUCUUAUUGUCUAGAAGAGCAAUGGUUAGAAAUAAAAACAAUGUUCUGGAGCACUUAGGGGACUAGUCUAUUGUUGUAUUAAUUUAUUGCAGGCAAGUGUAAUUACUACAGAAGGUUUGAAUAGACUCACAGAAAAACAUCUUGUUAUUUUGGACACCUACAAUGAAUUUAAGGAACUUCAAAGUAUACAUUUAAUAUUUGCAAGCCUCUAGUGAUGAAGCACAAAAAGGGUGCCACACUGUGCAAGCAAACAGUAUUGACAGUUGUUUUACAGUUUUAGUCUGGUAAAGGAUACAUUUAUGCACACAUUAGAUUUUUCUAUGUUAACCAUUUUCUAUCAAAAAGAGACUAGCUCCCAUGUAAUCAUAUUAAUUAUGAUCUAAAAUGCAAAAAUGGUCCAAGAUAAAGUGCCUCAUAGGAGUGUUUAUGAAUACAGGCCCUGCCAUUAAGACUCAUUUAGGUUGCAACUGUGGCACAAGCCAGUUUUUCACACCCCUGUACUUAUUUUUUAAGAUCCUUUGCCGUUGGUACAGUCACUCUGCUCCCACCUCAGUGCUGGAGCAGUAGAGCUUGAGGCUGGUUGUCACUCUUCAGAUGUCACCAUUGUAAACAUUGGAGGACUGACUUUAUAGAGACAUCCCUUAAUUCAUUAUUUUCUGGUAAAAUAAACUUGACGUCAAGUGUAGCAGGAUAUCAGUGAUCACCUUCAAUGACCAGCACUUCCUAACCCACACACCCAAUUUACUGGAAAGGUUUUUGACCUCUGAGAAAAGACUGCUUUAUUAUUUUGUCCUUAUUUGCCACAGGUCAUAUUUCAGAGAAUAUUUUUAAGCAGCUCCCCAAAAUGUC